UACGUAGGGCGCAAGCGUUGUCCGGAAUUACUGGGCGUAAAGAGUGUGUAGGCGGUGCUCUAAGUUCGUUGUGAAAUCUCCCGGCUUAACUGGGAGGGUGCGGCGGAAACUGGAGUGCUUGAGCGCGGGAGAGGAAAGCGGAAUUCCUGGUGUAGCGGUGAAAUGCGUAGAUAUCUGGAGGAACACCGGUGGCGAAGGCGGCAUCCUGGACCAAUAUUGACGCUGAGGAGCGAAAGCCAGGGGAGCAAAGCGGG
rnacentral:rRNA from 1 species